AGUUAAGCUUCAACACGCCGAAAGUAGUUGGGGGAUCGCUCCCUGCGAGGAUAGGACGUUGCCAUGC
rnacentral:rRNA from 1 species